UACGAAGGGGGCUAGCGUUGCUCGGAAUCACUGGGCGUAAAGCGCACGUAGGCGGAUCUUUAAGUCAGGGGGUGAAAUCCCGGAGCUCAACUCCGGAACUGCCAUUGAAACUGUAAGACUUGAGGAUGAGAGAGGUGAGUGGAAUUCCCAGUGUAGAGGUGAAAUUCGUAGAUAUUGGGAAGAACACCGGUGGCGAAGGCGGCUCACUGGCUCAUAUCUGACGCUCAGGCGCGACAGCGUGGGGAUCAAACAGG
rnacentral:rRNA from 1 species